CCAAUAGCGUAUAUUAAAGUUGUUGCAGUUAAAAAGCUCGUAGUUGAAUUUCGGGGUUAGUAGGUUGGUCAUGCCUCUGGUAUGUACUGGUCUCACUGAUUCCUCCUUCCUGAUGAACCGUAAUGCCAUUAAUUUGGUGUUGCGGGGAAUUUGGACUGUUACUUUGAAAAAAUUAGAGUGUUUAAAGCAAGCUAACGCUUGAAUACAUUAGCAUGGAAUAAUGAAAUAGGACGCUCGAUCCUAUUUUGUUGGUUUCUAGGAUUGACGUAAUGAUUAAUAGGGAUAGUUGGGGGCAUUAGUAUUCAAUUGUCAGAGGUGAAAUUCUUGGAUUUAUUGAAGACUAACUACUGCGAAAGCAUUUGCCAAGGAUGUUUUCAUUAAUCAAGAACGAAAGUUAGGGGAUCGAAGACGAUCAGAUACCGUCGUAGUCUUAACCAUAAACUAUGCCGACUAGGGAUCGGAUGAUGUUAAUUUUUUAAUGACUCAUUCGGCGCCUUACG
rnacentral:rRNA from 1 species